rnacentral:rRNA from 1 species
CCAGAUCCCAUCAGAACUCUGAAGUUAAGCGCCUUUGGGCCGGAAUAGUACUGGGAUGGGUGACCUCCCGGGAAGUCCCGGUGCUGCAUCCAU